UGAGUACGAGAUGCUACGGCAUCGAAGCAGUCUAUGUCAUACUUCCAAGAAAAGCUUGCAAUGUCAUAAACAAAUAAUGCCUGUACCAUAACCGACACAGGUGGGUAGGUAGAGUAUACUAAGGGGCGCGAGAUAACUCUCUCUAAGGAACUCGGCAAAAUGACUCCGUAACUUCGGGAGAAGGAGUGCCUUAUUUUUAUAAGGUUGCAAUAACAAGAUCCAAGCAACUGUUUACCAAAAACACAGGUCUCCGCUAAGUCGUAAGACGAUGUAUGGGGGCUGACGCCUGCCCAGUGCCAGAAGGUUAAAGAAGUUGGUUAGCAUUAGCGAAGCUGAUAACUGAAGCCCUGGUGAACGGCGGCCGUAACAAUAACGGUCCUAAGGUAGCGAAAUUCCUUGUCGGGUAAGUUCCGACCCGCACGAAAGGCGUAAUGAUUUGGAUACUGUCUCGGAGAGGGGCUCGGUGAAAUAGACUUGUCUGUGAAGAUGCGGACUACCUGCACCUGGACAGAAAGACCCUAUGAAGCUUUACUGUAACUUGAGAUUGAAAUUGGACUUUAUCUGCGCAGUAUAGGUGGGAGACGUUGAAAAUAUUCUUGCGGGAAUAUUGGAGUCAUCAGUGAGAUACCACUCUUAUAAUGUUAGAUUUCUAACUUUGUAUCAUUAUCUGGUCAAAGAACAGUUUCAGGCGGGCAGUUUGACUGGGGCGGUCGCCUCCCAAACGGUAACGGAGGCGCGCAAAGGUUUCCUCUGAACGUGUAGAAAUCGUAUCUAGAGUGUAAAGGCAUAAGGAAGCUUGACUGUGAGACCUACAAGUCGAGCAGGGACGAAAGUCGGUCUUAGUGAUCUGACGGUGCUGAGUGGAAAGGCCGUCACUCAACGGAUAAAAGUUACUCUAGGAUAACAGGCUGAUCUCCCCCAAGAGUUCACAUCGACGGGGAGGUUUGGCACCUCGAUGUCGGCUCAUCGCAUCCUGGGGCGGUAGUACGUCCCAAGGGUUGGGCUGUUCGCCCAUGAAAGCGGUACGCGAGCUGGGUUCAGAACGUCGUGAGACAGUUCGGUCCAUAUCCGGUGUAGGCGUUAGAAUAUUGAGAGGAGCCUUCUUUAGUACGAGAGGACCGAGAAGGACAUACCUCUGGUGUACCAGUUAUCAUGCCAACGGUAAACGCUGGGUAGCCAUGUAUGGAGAGGAUAACCGCUGAAAGCAUCUAAGUGGGAAGCCCACCUCAAGAUAAG
rnacentral:rRNA from 1 species